GAUGAAGAACGCAGCGAAAUGCGAUAAGUAAUGUGAAUUGCAGAAUUCAGUGAAUCAUCGAAUCUUUGAACGCACAUUGCGCCCCUUGGUAUUCCGAGGGGCAUGCGUGUUCGAGCGUCAUUAUAACCCCUCAAGCUCAGCUUGGUGUUGGGGCCUGCUGCACUGGCAGCCCUUAAAAUCAGUGGCGGCGCCAUCUGGCUCUAAGCGUAGUAAUUCUUCUCGCUAUGGAGUCCUGGUGGAUGCUUGCCAUCAACCCCCAAUUUUUCUAUGGUUGACCUCGGAUCAGGUAGGGAUACCCGCUGAACUUAAGCAUAUCAAUAAGCGGAGGA
rnacentral:misc_RNA from 1 species